rnacentral:misc_RNA from 1 species
GGGUGACUGGCGACGGAAGCUC